CCCAAGGAAUGUAUGUUUUGCUACUAGUGGUCAUCGCUACAGGUAAUUUUUCAUUAUUUUCCUUCCACAUUUGGUUUCAUCUAAUUAUCAUGACUCAGAGAAUAUAUCUUCGAUACAUGCAAUAUUUUCGUUUAUCUAGCAAAAUAGUACAAGUUAAAAGUUUAUUUGAAUGAUACAUUUCGUUUCCUUCAAAUUAUAAUCAACAAACUGAUUUUUAAGAAUGUGUUCUUGUGUGUGUAGUAAUUAUUCAAACCUUCUGCAUUGUUUAAACAAAAUAAAAAUUGGUUUUUCAAUUGUUACUUGCUAAAUUUUGGCUAUUAUGUUUGGAAUACCAAUACAUACGUAUUUAAGGUAGCACAAUCCAAAGAUUUUGCAUCCCAAUCAGACAACUUUAAACUGAUGUAAUUCAUUUCAUCCUUCUUUAUAUUUUAUAAAUAAGGUACCAAAAGAUAGAAGAAAGAUGAAUCUUUCAAAUUGUGAUAAUUUCAUUAUGACAUAAUUAUUACACAAUUAAUUGUUAUGUAAUUAGUUGCUAUUUUUUCCUGACUUGGUACAAGACAUUUUAAGGAAAAAAUGGUGGGGUUGAAUCUGGUUUUGUGGCACGCAAAACCUCCCGCUUUUAUGGCAAUGUUAACAAUAACAUUAAAAUGACAACAUUACAUGAGAAGACUACAAUACAAAUAAAUGGGAGAACAGAACAUAUGACAGAAAUAUCUUCUUGCAAUUUCAAAUAGUAAACCGCGGUCUAAUUUAAUAUUCAAUACAAAUUAGCUAUUUCGAACUCAGUGAGAUACAAAUUCCUUUAAAUUAUCUGUAUCAAUAUAUGUGAGUUUCUGUUUAAGGGGCAUUAGCUACGAGAUAUAAAAAAAUAAAAUAUAAUUUUCUUUUGUUCGAUCAUUACAGAAAGUGGUAUAGUAAAAUAAUAAUUCGCUUUUAAAUGCCAAUAAAGUUUAAUUUUUUCAAAAUCCUAAUAAGCCAAAAAAAAACCCAUCGCUAAUUAUUUAUUCAUUUGAAAGAGAAUAAUUUUAACCUCUUUGAAGCCGUAUGCGUGUAAUCUUAAAUUCUAUCUUUAAAUUCAUAUAAGAAGAUGUGGUAUUUGCGCCAAUGAGACAACUCUCCAUCCGAGUCACAAUUUGUAAAAGUAAACCAUUGUAGGUCAAAGUACGAGUUUCAACACGGAGCAAUGGCUCGCACUAAACAGCAAGCUAUAAACGGCCCAAAAAUUACUAGUUUAAAGUGUAAAACCAUUCAAACAGGAAAACCAACGGCCUACUCUUGAAGUAAAACGAGAAACACUUAUGAACCACAUCAACAAACGCGACAAUUACUGACCAUCAGGUUCCUGACUUAGAACAGAUGCAAACAAGUUAAAAGUUUGAGUUGUGCUACGCAUGUAUUCGGUAAUUAAAAGGAAUAAUAAAAUGAUACAAGGAUGGACCGAAUGAUUGACUGAUUUGAUCGAUACAAAAAUCAUUUGUAUAUAGGUAAAAUCGAUGAUAAAGAUACUUUGUACCCACCAUAUGAAAUUGAACAAACCUACAAAUAUUAAAUUGCACGUGGCCGCUAUUUAUAUUUAUUUUUAUAUCGGGAUAUGUUGCCAUUGGUAGUCUUCGAAGGAUAAUUGAUGACGUUUAGACAAAAAUACACAUAUUGUUACAUAUAAUCGAACCAUGGCAUGCAUUGUUAAUUGUUAAUUUUGCACAUUUUGUAAUUCAAAUAUACGUUUUAGUAUGAAAUAAAUCAAAUAUUAGAUUUGAGUCAAAUCAGUGCAUAGCAAUUUGGCAGGUAUACCCCUUUAACAGUUGUGAAAUUAUUUUUUAUUAAAAGUAACUUGUGAUUGUCUUUUGUCGUUGCAAAUGUGGGUUGUUAUUUAGAUAUUUUUGGAUUUUGCAUAUCUAUGAUAGUCCUCUUUUGAUUUAGUAAUCAGCUUUUUCCAGAUUCAUGGGGUUGGGGUUUACACGUACCGUUGAAAUAAAAUAAAUGUAUUGAUAACUGUUUAAUUAUGCUAUUGCCUCCUUGACAUGUUGUUCUUGAAGUUAUUUGUCGAUUCCUCCUGUUAUCAAUCAUUUACCAUUAUAAAUGUAAGUUACAUAAUACUCAGUUUUAAAACGAACAAACUUUGUUUGACCAAUAAACGUAUUUACACUUUUGGUAUUUAGCUGGAUCUUGCCUCCGAAUGACCUUAGAUCUACUCCGAAUCACCUUUUGACGUCAAGCAACAAUCACUUUUAAAUUGUGACGUCAAAUAAUUUAAAUUGUGAUGUCAAAGUUUACAGGAACCUGUGUGAUUUUACGUAAUGGCGGACAAAUUUGCAUACAAGUGUAAAUACGUCUAUACCACCGGUAAGCCUGAACAGAAUGAUUACCGGUACUGUAUUAAUUUGCGAACACAAAAAAUAAUUAAACAGAUAACAGCAUGAUGAUUUUUCAUUUUAUUCAUUUACCUCUAAUUAAACAUGGCACACAUCUAUAUUCUUCUGUCUACGAUUCAGAUCACCUUUUCGAGAGAAUAAAUAUAUAUAUAAUACAAACACGGACGACAAUACAAGCGAUAAUUCAUUGUAAUUAGUAAUGUAUUAUUUUUACAGUUGCUACAUAUGGGUAUAACAUCGAUGUCAAUUAUACUAAGAAGGUUUCUAGUGAGUAUAUGAAUAUGCUUUUUUUUUUAAUGCUGAUAAUGAUUUCGAUUAUUAGAAUAAUUAAAGCGAAAGAAAAUGAUAACAAGUUGCAUGGUUUUCACAGAUAUUUUGUCUACUCUAAUAUCAUUCUAGAUGUUAUAGGUUAGAUUACCUUAGCCGUAUUUGGCACAACUUUUUGGAAUUUUGGAUCCUCAAAGCUCUUCAACUUUGUACUUGUUUGGCUUUAUAACUAUUUUGAUAUGAGCGUCACUGAUGAGUCAUAUGUAGACGAAACGCGCGUCUGGCGUACUAAACAAUAAUCCUGGUACUUUUGAUAACUAAUUAUUCAAUUACAGCAUAAGAACAACUUACAACAUCGGUUUUUAUCUGUGAUGACAAUGUAUAAUGCACUAAAACUUCUAUAUAUAGGCCCUGCCAUUUACAGUGGUGGAAAGUACGGACUAGUAUACUACAACAGAUACCACGGAUUUAAAAUAAGACGGAGCAUAUUUCAUUACAAUGGAAUAGGUAGGUACUAUCUAUUUAACUGUUUAGUCUAACUGAUUAUUAGAUUUCUCUAGCACUAAGGACGCGAUGAUUAAGCAUUAAUACUGUUGAUUCGUUAACAUUCGUUGGAUACCAAUUUUCAUUGAUUUAGUGGGUACAGAAAACCACGAAUUUGCAUCUUCAAAGAAUUAAAGAAAUUCUUAAGGAAUGUAUGCAAACUUUUCCAAAACCAGGAAAUUAAAUAUCCACGAAUAUGCAAGUUUUCCUGACACCACGAAAAUUGGAACCCACGGAAAAGAAUUAAUCCACAGUAACUGUAUCUAUUGACAGAAUGUGUAUCGUUACUGUUUUCAACACUUGCCUUAAACAUAUCUAAGCAGUUUGAGGUUCUGAGAAUCAAAAGGUAAAGUGCGUGCAUUCUAACGCACAAUAAGAAGAACAUGUUUACUAUACACUCUUAAAUAAAUAGACUAUCUAGCACGUUACAUCAACGACAUUCUUCUAUUUCAUAUGAAUCAUCUUCAAGUGACAAACUUGACAGCAAAUAUUGAUAACUAUUGCUGACCAGUUUACAGUAACGCUAUCUGGUAUUAACUUGAAUGUUAUUUGUUGUCAUCUAGUAUUUCUUAAAUGAUGAUUUUACAGUUAUACCCAGGAUAUAAAAUAGUUUCCUUUUGAGACAACUAUAAAUGAAACAUUAAUUGAAACGCGAUAUUAGAUGAACUUGGGUUCUCGCUUUGUAUGCAAAUUAAACAAUUGCAUAUGUUAUGAUUUUGUAAAAUUAGCUCCGGUGUGUGCAAAUGUAUCCUUUCACCGUAAGAAUAAAAUAGUAUUCGUAUUUUUCUCGUGAUUAAUGUAAUUAUAUUUAUUUUUUAGGAUAUAAAUUGACCUGUAAUAAAACACGAUUCUAUCGACUUUGGUGCAGUUGUUAUAGAAAAUGCCACAGCAAAAGUAAAUGUUUUGAACGAUUCAGAAAACAACGACUGUUUUUAAAACACAGAGGUAAAUAUAAAUACAACAACAAGAGGAACAUAUACUAAAAUUCAAUUCUCAUUCCAUGCUAUUUAUGUAGCUAUCGGGGUGUUAUAUGUAGCUAAAUAUAUGUAUGUUCAAAACCAUGACACUCCUAUAAUACACCUUCUAUGGUGUUUUCCUAUAUACUGAGACCUUCGUUGUACAGGAAUUGAAUGAGAUGAGAUAUCAUAUAUCGUUUGUUUUGUGAUUCUCACUCAUUCAAAUGUCUUUAUGGUCACUAUUGAAUUAUGCGUGUAUCAAAUACUGUUUUCCUUUUUACACGAUAGUCGGAUUAUAAAGAUAGGCCCUUGUUUAAAAAAUAUAUAAAAAUAGUACAAGGAAAAUAAAUAUUCGAUGAUUUGUUUCAAAAGUUAUCAAAAAUAAAUGAUUGCUAAGAUAUUCAGCCUAUAAUUAGCAAAUAAACAACAUGCAAAAUAAUUUACAUUUUUAUCAAGGAUUGUAAGUACGGGGUCUAAGAGUUCUUUCUAUGAAAUAAAAAUCCGCAAAAUAUUUGAUGUUAAUAACAGAUCUGGAUUACAGUGCCCCUCUUUUUUGUCCUCAAAUGCCAAAUUAGGGGUUUAAAUAGAAUGUCAUUUUAAGAAACCUAUAUAGUAUAAUUUACUAAUCUAUCUUUCAAAAUGAACCUUUCACAUAACCUUGUCAAAUUAAAAAAAAAUUAAAUUGUAUUUCUGCUAUUCUAUUUUGAGAAAUGUGUUAUUGUUACUAAUAAUAGAAAAAGGAGAAAAGUCUAAAAAUUUUCAAUCUUAUAUCUUCACCAGUUCAAAAAUAAAUAUUUUAGCAGAGCAUUCAAAAUUGACACUUAAAUUUAACUUUACAUAUUGUUCCAUCCUUAAAAAAAAUAGAAACUUUUACCGUACCGAUUUCGAGAAAUUUUCAUUAUAAUCAUGAUCAUAAUGUCAAGGUCAUAGUUACUACAUGUAAAUGGAGACUUGAUAUCACAGUUCUGAUGUUUUUUGGGUAUGGUUCAUGUAUUGUUCAUGUUAAUCUUUAACAACAUUCACAAUACUUCAUAUAAACUUAUAAUUAGAAUAAACACUGAUAUCUAUGGCGUGUAAAUGUUUUAUUGAUUUCCAGUAAAUAACUUGUACUGUUUAUUUGGAAUUGGUGAUUAUAAAACGUUUGAGACCCAUUGCGUAUUUUUAAUAUUUUUUACAAAGGCACCGAAGUGUUGAUAAAAGAAGGAGGAAGUUGUGACAAACAAGAUGUUUAGAUAUAAUAACUGCAUAAAAGAGGGACGAAAAAUGAAAAGGACAAAUAGACAAACAAUAGUACACAUGACACAACAUAGAAAACUUAAAUAUAAACAACACGAACCCCACCUAUACACCAUUAACUGCAACUUUUUUUUUCUAUUUCAGCUAGGUCUUAUCGAGGGCGAUCAAAGUUCGCCUAAUAACACUGGAGGCAAUGAAACAAUAAUAAAAAAAA
rnacentral:lncRNA from 1 species